AUGUUAGUGGUUCAGCAGUAGAAUUCUCACCUUCCAUGUGGAAGACCUGGGUUCAAUUCCCAGCCAAUGUG
rnacentral:tRNA from 1 species